UACGUGUUGCUGCUGCGACGACAAUUAGAUUCCAAUUUCGAAUUCCAAUCAGUUUCAACAUCCGCCGACUCACAUUUCCCAGCCGGGAUUUUAUAUUUGAGGUGCACACAAAUGCAAAAGGACGUAAUAUUUUUAAGUGCUUCGUUCGGUAGGCACUUCACAAAUUGCAUAGCAAAAUCCGGCGCCAGUACCAGCGAUUUUGCAAGGUCCGGGGAGUUGAAUUCGCGUAGGUUUUCCGUGCCAUCAUUACCGCAGUUACCAUGUUCAUUCCAACCCCAUGUGUACACUUCACCAUUCGUGCUACGUAAAAGACCAUGUUCAGA